UACAGAGGGUGCAAGCGUUAAUCGGAAUUACUGGGCGUAAAGGGUGCGUAGGUGGUUUGAUAAGUUAGGUGUGAAAGUCCCGGGCUUAACCUGGGGAUUGCGCCUGAUACUGUCAGACUAGAGUACUGUAGAGGAAAGUGGAAUUUCCGGUGUAGCGGUGAAAUGCGUAGAUAUCGGAAGGAACACCAGUGGCGAAGGCGACUUUCUGGACAGAUACUGACACUGAGGAGCGAAAGCCAGGGGAGCAAACGGG
rnacentral:rRNA from 1 species